AUGGCGCCGCUGGCCGACCUGUACCAGGUGUCCAUGGCCUACGGGCACUGGCGGGCCGGGCGGCACCGCGCCCCGGCCGCCGCCGAGCUCUUCUUCCGCCGCCCUCCCUUCCGCGGCUCCUUCGCGCUCGGCGCCGGCCUGGCCGAGGGGCUGCGGGGGCUCCGAGCCUUCCGCUUCUCCGCUGCCGAUGUCGCGUACCUGCGCUCUGUCCUGCCCAGCACCAUCGACGACGCCUUCUUUGACUACCUGGCCACCCUGGACGCCUCCGAGGUGACCGUCACCGCCAUUCCCGAGGGCUCCGUCGUCUUUGCCAGGGUGCCAUUCCUGCAGGUGAAGGGGCCGCUCCUGGUGGUGCAGCUGCUGGAGACCACCUUGCUGUGCCUGAUCAACUACGCCAGCCUGGUGGCCACCAACGCUGCCAGAUUCCGCCUCCUGGCCGGGCCGGACAUGAAGCUCAUAGAGAUGGGGCUGCGCCGCGCGCAGGGGCCGGACGGAGCCCUCUCGGCAUCCAAAUAUUCCUACAUUGGGGGCUUCGACUGCACCAGCAACAUCCUGGCGGGAAAACUGUACGGAAUUCCAGUGCGUGGCACCAUCGCCCACUCCUUCAUCAUGUCCUUCAGGUGCCUGGAGGAGGUGCAGCCACGGGAGCUGCCGCCCCGGGCCGGAGGAGAUCCCGUGGAUCUGGCAGACCUGGCUCUGUCCUGGCUGCAGAGGGUUUGUGACCUGCUCCAGACUCCUCCCAGCAAGGCCAACCAGGGCGAGCUGGCCGCCUUCGUGUCCUACGCUGUCACCUUCCCGUGUGACUUCCAGGGAUUGCUGGACACCUACUGUGUCAGGAGGAGUGGUUUGCCCAAUUUCUGUGCCGUGGCCUUGGCACUGCACCAGCUGGGAUACCAGGCCAUUGGAGUGCGCCUGGACAGUGGGGACCUGGCCCAGCAAUCCAAGGAAAUCCGGGGAGUGUUCCAAGCCUGCGGAGCUCACUUCCAGGUGCCCUGGUUUCGGACCAUCCCCAUCGCUGUCAGCAACGACAUCAGCGAGCAGAGCCUGGAGGAGUUCAGGAGGGAGGGGAGCGAGAUCGACAUGAUUGGAAUUGGGACCCACCUGGUGACGUGUCCCCUGCAGCCGUCGCUGGGCUGUGUCUACAAGCUGGUGGAGGUCAAUGGCUCCCCGUGCCUGAAGCUCACGGAGGAUGAGGAGAAGAUGACAAUCCCGGGGAUGAAGGCAAUCUAUCGGCUCUAUGAUGCUGCUGGUCACCCCUUCAUGGACCUCAUGGCCCUGGAGGAGGAGCCGUCGCCCAGCGCGGGGCAGGAGCUGGGGAUCCGAGUCCUGGGGCGGCUGGAGGAGACCACCAAGGUCAUUCCCAGCACUGUGGAGCCCCUCCAUCGCACCUACUUCAGGGAUGGCCAGGUGUGUGAGCCCCUGCCCAGCCUGCCCGAGGUGAGGACCCACGCCCAGGUGUCCCUCAACCUGCUCAGCCCUGCUCACCGCCGGCUCCACGAGCCACAGCCCUACCCGGUGGCCGUGACGGAACGGCUGCACCAGCUCUUCCUGGAGCUGCGCCAGGGCAGCCUCUGAGGAGAUCCCUGCCCGUCCCCAGCUCCUGCUCCGCUCUUUUUUGGGAAGCCCGGGUGCCUCGUUAGGAAUUAAUGGCUCUAAUUUAGACCUGGUGCUAACCUGAGGAACCUGCAGGAACUGGGAGAGCGCCCUGGGGUCCCAGUAGGGAAGCUGGGAACACAGGGAUGGGGAAGGCAGAGCUGUCCCUGCAUCCCCUGGAAGUGACAGAACUGUGCCCAGCUUGGUGGCCCUGCCAGCCUUGUGCCUUAUCUUGGUGGCCCUGCCAUUCCUGUGUCUUCCUUGGUGGCCCUGCCACUCCUGUGUUCAACUUGGUGGCCUUUGUGGCAGCCUUUUGCCUUAUCUUGGUGGCCCUGCCAUUCCUGUGUCCAACUUGGUGGCCCUGCCAGCCUUUUGCCUUAUCUUGGUGGCCCUGCCAUUCCUGUGCCUUCCUUGGUGGCCCUGCCACUCCUGUGUCCAGCUGGGUGGCCCUGGCAGCCCUGAAGCUCUUUGGUGGCACUAGACCAAAGUCUGGAGUGCCACCAACAGGCUGACAAGGGACACCCACGGGGCACCCAUGGCAGACACUCUUUGCUUCGGCAAUUCCAAGCUUCAUCUUUGUGGCCACAUUCCAGCUCUUUCCAUUCUGGCCAAAUUCCCUGGGAUGUGGAGGCUGGAUCCAGGCUGAUUCCAGCUCCAGGUUGAUCCCAGCUCCAGGCUGAUCCCAGCUCCAGGUUGGUCCCAGCUCCAGGUUGAUCCCAGCUCCAGGCUGAUCCCAGCUCCAGGUUGAUCCCAGCUCCAGGUUGAUCCCAGCUCCAGGCUGAUCCCAGCUCCAGGUUGGUCUGAGCUCCAGGCUGGUCCCAGUUCCAGGCUGAUCCCAGUUCCAGGUUGAUCCCAGCUCCAGGUUGAUCCCAGUUCCAGGUUGAUCCCAGCUCCAGGUUGAUCCCAGCUCCAGGCUGAUCCCAGCUCCAGGCUGAUCCCAGCUCCAGGUUGGUCUGAGCUCCAGGCUGAUCCCAGCUCCAGGUUGAUCCCAGCUCCAGGCUGGUCCCAGUUCCAGGCUGAUCCCAGCUCCAGGCUGAUCCCAGCUCCAGGUUGGUCCCAGCUCCAGGCUGAUCCCAGCUCCAGGUUGGUCCCAGUUCCAGGCUGAUCCCAGCUCCAGGCUGAUCCCAGCUCCAGGCUGAUCCCAGCUCCAGGUUGGUCCCAGCUCCAGGCUGGUCCCAGUUCCAGGCUGAUCCCAGCUCCAGGCUGAUCCCAGCUCCAGGUUGAUCCCAGCUCCAGGCUGCCACCUGCACUCUCUAACCCCUGUUCCCACAGGAAACGUGGCUCUAACCCACACUGAGCUUCACACCAAGCAAAAAAUUUCAAAUAAAAGCCUUUUCCCAUCAUGGCUCUGACCCUA